rnacentral:rRNA from 1 species
GAUGAACGCUGGCGGCGUGCCUAACACAUGCAAGUCGAGCGAUUUACUUCGGUAAAGAGGCGGACGGGUGAGUAACGCGUGGGUAACCUGCCCUGUACACACGGAUAACAUACCGAAAGGUAUGCUAAUACGAGAUAAUAUGCUUUUAUCGCAUGGUAGAAGUAUCAAAGCUUUUGCGGUACAGGAUGGACCCGCGUCUGAUUAGCUAGUUGGUGAGGUAACGGCUCACCAAGGCGACGAUCAGUAGCCGACCUGAGAGGGUGAUCGGCCACAUUGGAACUGAGACACGGUCCAAACUCCUACGGGAGGCAGCAGUGGGGAAUAUUGCACAAGGGGCGAAAGCCUGAUGCAGCAACGCCGCGUGAGCGAUGAAGGCCUUCGGGUCGUAAAGCUCUGUCCUCAAGGAAGAUAAUGACGGUACUUGAGGAGGAAGCCCCGGCUAACUACGUG